rnacentral:rRNA from 1 species
GGAGAAGCUCUUGAUCGAAGCCCCGGUAAACGGCGGCCGUAACUAUAACGGUCCUAAGGUAGCGAAAUUCCUUGUCGGGUAAGUUCCGACCUGCACGAAUGGCGUAAUGAUGGCCAGGCUGUCUCCACCCGAGACUCAGUGAAAUUGAACUCGCUGUGAAGAUGCAGUGUACCCGCGGCAAGACGGAAAGACCCCGUGAACCUUUACUAUAGCUUGACACUGAACACUGGUCCUUGAUGUGUAGGAUAGGUGGGAGGCUUUGAAGUGUGGACGCCAGUCUGCAUGGAGCCGCCCUUGAAAUACCACCCUUUAAUGGCUGGUGUUCUAACGUGGGCCCGUAAUCCGGGUUGCGGACAGUGUCUGGUGGGUAGUUUGACUGGGGCGGUCUCCUCCUAAAGAGUAACGGAGGAGCACGAAGGUCAGCUAAUCCUGGUCGGACAUCAGGAGGUUAGUGCAAUGGCAUAAGCUGGCUUGACUGCGAGCGUGACGGCGCGAGCAGGUGCGAAAGCAGGUCAUAGUGAUCCGGUGGUUCUGAAUGGAAGGGCCAUCGCUCAACGGAUAAAAGGUACUCCGGGGAUAACAGGCUGAUACCGCCCAAGAGUUCAUAUCGACGGCGGUGUUUGGCACCUCGAUGUCGGCUCAUCACAUCCUGGGGCUGAAGUAGGUCCCAAGGGUAUGGCUGUUCGCCAUUUAAAGUGGUACGCGAGCUGGGUUUAGAACGUCGUGAGACAGUUCGGUCCCUAUCUGCCGUGGGCGCUGGAGAACUGAGGGGGGCUGCUCCUAGUACGAGAGGACCGGAGUGGACGCAUCACUGGUGUUCGGGUUGUCAUGCCAAUGGCACUGCCCGGUAGCUAAAUGCGGAAGAGAUAAGUGCUGAAAGCAUCUAAGCACGAAACUUGCCCCGAGAUGAGUUCUCCCUGACUCCUUGAGAGUCCUGAAGGAACGUUGAAGACGACGACGUUGAUAGGCCGGGUGUGUAAGCGCAGCGAUGCGUUGAGCUAACCGGUACUAAUGAACCGUGAGGCUUAACCUUACAACGCCGAAG